CGCCCUCCGCAGACCUCAGCGCAGCGGCCGCGGGCGCGAGGGGAGGGGUCUCGAGCUCCCUCCGGCUGCCUGUCCCGCACCGGAGCCCGUGGGGUGGGGAGGUGUGCAGCCUGUGACAGACAGGGGCUUAGAGAUGCAAACAGACUCAGGGAGAGAAACAGAAGCUGAUUCUGUGACAGAAGCAGAUCUGUGCAGCACAGAUGCGGUGUGCGUGGGGAGGGGGUCGCCUGGGAGCGCAUUGCGGAGUGCUUGUGUGUGCAGAUUUUUCUCUGGGUUCAGGACUCAUUGCAUGUGGGUCAACACCUUCCUCCGUGACUGUGUUUUUGUUCUGAGCUGAGUUUUUUGGUUUGCCCUUAAAAAAAUAAUAAUUUGGCAUCCAGAGACUGGCAGACUGCCUCAGGGCCUGGACUGCGGAUAUAUUGUGUUCUGCUUGAGGUUUGGGGAGGAGGGCAGGCGGUUGGAAGGGAGAGGGGGAGCUGUUUGUCACCCUUUGCUGUAGAGCUGAGAGCACCUGACAAACUUAAGGAAGUCGUUGGGCUAUGUGGACAAGAAGGAGCCAGCUCCCAGCGGGUUCACAAGCUCCAUCGGAGCUGAAAGCAUGGCCAUGGCUCUAAGGAGCACCUCACGCCCUCCCUGUAGCUGUUAUUGCAGUUUCAGGCAGAGAUCCAGGAGCUGCAGAGGAAGGGAGAGGCACAAUAACCUACAUGGACCCAAGGGAGACAUGUGUUCCUUUAAAAAUGUGAACAGAAGGAAAAACAGAAUGUGUGCAAGUGGGGGUCUGAGGAAAGACUGUUUUGAAAGAGGCUGUCAGGGAAUGGAAAGGGUUAAGCUUUUCAUCCUGAAGAACCUGCUUCCCAAAUCAGGCCUUCCUCCCAUCACUAGACCCUGAGCAGCAGCUGGUCCUAGAGACCCCCCUCGUACUGCGCUGCCACAAUCUCAUCCCGUUUCCAGCUCUGUAUUAACCACCAAGCUGCAGCCGAUGGGGCAAGACCUAAGCUCAUUAAUUUCCAGGUGGAGGAAAUGGAGGAGGGGCAGGUCCCUGCAGUAGAGGGAGGAGCAGAGAAAGGAGGCCAAGAGCUGGAUCCUUCUGCCCAGGAAGCCUGCUGCAUCCCUUCCCCCAAGCAUGGCAGAGGCCUGGCUUUGCAAGGCCAAGGCCAUAAGGGAUGCUUAGGAGAUUAAUUUGCUUCCUGACACAGUAAUCAAGGCCUAAGAGUCUCCAUUGAAGAUUACUGAGGACUUCUUUCCUCUCCAAAGCCUCAGUCUAGCCUGCUAAAUAAAUUAGUAUUCAGUGAUGCCUUGGAUCAGGGCCCCUCCCCGGCCUCAGUUCCCCCAAAUAUUUAUUGAGUACCUACUAUGUGCAAUCCUUGUGUAAUUAUUCCCUCUUAGGCUCUUCAUUUGCCCUCCUAAGGCAGUGUUUAGAGUCAGGCAGAGGUUCAGUGUGUUGCACCCCACCUAGAUACUUCCAGAACCUUCUCUGGGUCUGCAGAAUGUGGCACAACCUGCUUGCCCCCGCAGAGAGAAAGCUGCAGUGCACAUCCUGCAGACUGCAGGUGCUGGGCUGCCUCUGGAGUCCCAGAAGGCAAGCUUGGCUACAGGACAGAAAGGGAGAACAGCUUCUCUCACCCCUGAGCCUUAACAAGCCCUUGUCUAUUUGCCAUUGCCUUCAAAAUAUACCUCCCCUGAAACUAGUAGCUUCCUGAGUCCUGGUGUCCCCUCCGCCCUUUCUGGACAGGUUUGGGAAGAAGAAAGCAGUCAGUGCUGGGCCUUAUUGGGGUGUAAAGCCCCUUGCUCUGCCCCCUCUGCUCACUGUGAAGGCUGCUGUAUGCUUCUCUUAGGCAUGGUUUAAGCCUUCGAUUACUAAACCCCUUGCCCCACAAAUGUCCACAUUGACGAGCCUCUUUUUAGUAAUUGCUUCCCCGUAAUUCCUUCAGAGGUUGCUGUACCCUUCGCUGAUGUGCCCUCCGGUAAAAUCUCCAGAUGCCUUCCCACGUAAUGCCCCUUUCAGAUGCUUUAAGCUGAGAGCUUAAACCACAGGUACCAUGGCUGACGCCUGCCAGGUUUCUGCUGCGGAUAAUCUAUGAUGGGAGGGGCAUAUUUUCUACUUCAUUACUUAUGUAAACUCUUGCUCCAGAAAGCUUUAAUGUGUGUGGGAGUGUUCUGGGUCUACUAGGUCUGUGUGCAUGGGUGUGGGCAUUUGCCUGUGUCCACCGGGUCGGUCUCAUUAUGAAAUGUAUGUUUAUGUAGGGCUUUAAUGGCUGAAAAUGGCAAAGAGAUGAAUGGACCACUUGGCCCCAUGUGUACUUGCCAGGCCCCUUCUGUGCUCAAAUGAGGUGUCCGAGUGAAGGUCAGCCCUUCCCUUCUGUAUUUGGGGCCUAUUUAUGCCACCAGUAAUUUUACAAGAAACCUGAUUAUUUCUCCCCUUUGAGUGCAUUUAACUCUUUAAUAUCUUCCCUCUUACCUAUUUGAGCCCCUCUAGCUACAGUCUAUGGCUUAAAUGAAAGGGAAAUUAUAUGGUUAAGAAAAAGUAGGACACGGUUGAGGCAGUUUGCUGACUGAAUACGCAAAGAAGGCCCUGAUGGGCUCAUAUGCACCACCGCUAUCACAGUCCUCAUCGUGAUGCAAGCUUAUAUGAGUCUUGAGGUAAACUCUACCAGAUACUUCCGGAUUUAGAAAUGUAUCAAAGGAAAAAUUGGUGAUACUCUUCUUUCCCCUGCCAGAAACAGCCCAGAUCUCCGCUUAAGCGGAAAAGAGAUUGACCUUCUAGCAGAGGCAAAGAAUGGAGUCUUCUGGGGGCAGCUGCAAAGCGUUCUCCCUAGGACAGAUGGAGCCUCCCUUUCCUCAUCUACUCUGUGGGUGGUUUCAGGGCCCAUGAGUCAACAUGAGGAGUUGUGCUGGUGGUAUGUGUGUUGGAGGCUGGGCUGGCUGAUUCACAGUGACGAGGAUGUCAAUAAUAACAAUAAUGAGAAUGAUGGUACCUAAUAAAGACUUUUUUUCUCAA
rnacentral:lncRNA from 1 species